UACGAAGGGGGCUAGCGUUGUUCGGAUUUACUGGGCGUAAAGCGCACGUAGGCGGUUUCUUAAGUCGGGGGUGAAAUCCUGGAGCUCAACUCCAGAACUGCCUUCGAUACUGGGAAACUUGAGUCCGGGAGAGGUGAGUGGAACUGCGAGUGUAGAGGUGAAAUUCGUAGAUAUUCGCAAGAACACCAGUGGCGAAGGCGGCUCACUGGCCCGGUACUGACGCUGAGGUGCGAAAGCGUGGGGAGCAAACAGG
rnacentral:rRNA from 1 species